UUCCGGUUGAUCCUGCCGGAGGCUACCGCUAUUGGAGUUCGAUUAAGCCAUGCGAGUCGCGAGUCUUAGGGACUCGGCGUACCGCUCAGUAACACGUGGGUAACCUGCCCUAUGCUGGGGGAUAACCUCGGGAAACUGAGAAUAAUACCCCAUAGUUCACCACGCCUGGAACGGUGGGUGGAUGAAAGCUCCGGCGGCAUAGGAUGGGCCUGCGGCGUAUCAGGUUGUAGGGGGUGUAAUGUACCCUCUAGCCCUCUACGCGUACGGGUGUUGAGAGACAUCGCCCGGAGAUGGAUUCUGAGACACGAAUCCAGACCCUACGGGGUGCAGCAGGCGCGAAAACUUGGCAAUGCGAGAAAUCGUGACCAGGGAACUCCAAGUGCAUCGGGUAAGACCGAUGCUUUUCUUGACUCUUCAAAGGUCUUGGAAUAAGGGGUGGGUAAGGACGGUGCCAGCCGCCGCGGUAAUACCGGCGCCCCAAGUGGUAGUCGCUUUUAUUGGGCCUAAAACGUCCGUAGCCGGUCUGGUACAUUCGUGGGUAAAUCAACCAGCUCAACUGGUUGAAUUCUGCGAGCACGGCCAGACUUGGGACCGGGAGAGGUGUGGGGUACUCUCAGGGUAGGGGUAAAAUCCUGUCAUCCUGAGAGGACCACCUGUUGCGAAGGCGCCACACUAGAACGGAUCCGACGGUCAGGGACGAAGCCUAGGGGCACGAACCGGAUUAGAUACCCGGGUAGUCCUAGGUGUAAACGCUGUGGACUUGAUGUUGGGGGCGCUCCGAGCGCACUCAGUGUCGAAGCGAAGGUGAUAAGUCCACUGCCUGGGGAGUACGGUCGCAAGGCUGAAACUUAAAGGAAUUGGCGGGGGAGCACUGCAACCUGAGGAUUGUGCGGUUUAAUUGGAUUCAACGCCGG
rnacentral:rRNA from 1 species